GGUUGCAAGAGCAAUCUGACAGUGACAUCUGUCACUCCACUUAUGCCAGGUUUGGUUCCAGGGAUUUAGCUGGCUGGACGGUGUCCAGUGAUUCCUUCACUGUUCUAUAUUUGUCAUUAUGCUAUAGGCAUUGGCUGCAUCUUCAGGAUGUCACUCAAGUCAAAGAGGCUGAUACUCCUAGACAGAGGAGGACCUUGCUGUAGUGCAAGCAAUACAAUGAGCUGAACGCUCCUGCUAAAGAUGCAAAACAAACCUUUGAGGUUCAAAUGCAAAUGCUAAUUUUAGUUCAAUUUUUUAUUUGUAAAUCAUUGAAUGAAUUU
rnacentral:snRNA from 1 species